AAAAACUAAACGCUUUGCUUUGACAGCCGCCAGAAAAUUAACAUGAUCAGAAAGAUGGAGGAAGGGUAUAUAAUGUCCCCUCUGAGGCAAAACAGCAUGUCCCUUGUUUGCCUUUGCCUGGAGCAUAUGUGGAGCACUCAGACAGUUGGAUAUGAAUGGACCACCAUCCAAUAUGCAGGAACCACCAGCCCCAAGGCAAGCAGGUCCCUGGCUGCAGCAGCAUCCUUGGCAUUUGCACUCUAUGAUGAUGAACAUGGCAAGAGAGAAAACGAAGUAGAUUUUGCUUGGCUGAUUGAAGCAGUUAUGUCUUCUACCCUUUCCACUCUUCUGGAAGAGUUACUGUCUUGUGGCAAGGAUGGUUGGAUAAAGCAGGAAUCCAGUCCAAAAUUACCAGAAUUCACAGCUCCAUACAUAGCAGAAACUUGUGACAGCAUCUCCAAGAACCAGCAGCCUGACCUGUGAAGCACCAAGACAUGAUCAGUACUCCUUGCUUCAUCACCACCUGUCUCUUGGAGAAGGUGAAAAGCAGCCCUAAGAAUUACCCAUAGCUCUUACCUAACCCAGAAACAUGCACGAAUGCCCUUUCCAUUGUCUAUAGACUCCAUUUAAUAAGUCAUUAGCUCAAGCUGCAUUUCAAAAG
ensembl:lncRNA